UUUCUUCUUUGGGCCGUCGAAGCCUCCCGGCUCUGUCUUCCGGGAGACUGCAGCCGCCCGGAGCGGCUUCCAGAUUUCCCUUUUCCCCUGCCCUAGCCCUUUGCUGUCUCCAAACAGUUUUGACAUUUUUCAUGAGAAACUGCGUUGGCCCAGGGGCCGGGCCCGUUUCCCCCCCACCCCGGACCUCCUCAGCAAUCAUUUGGAGUUUGGAGGUGUCCUGGGGGGUAGCUGAGACUUAGCUUCCCAACGGCACUGGCCAUUCAAAAAUAAAACGAAAUCCGACGCGCCCCUCUUUCCCUGGCAACUCGGUGCCUCUGAGCGCCGCGGCCCCCUCCUCGGAGGAGCCUACACUCACUAGCCAACCCUUUCCCGGUCCUAGAUCGGCAAGUCCAGAGAUGCAAACCCAGCCGAGAGGCGCACACAACCAACCAUCACUUCUGCCGCCUCAGCCCCACCACCUGCAUCCCGCACAGACUUCCCCAAAGCCCCUUCUGUGCCCUCCUGCACCUGCCCCCGGCGCCCUGAACCCUCGCCGGCUUCUGAAGCUGCGAGAUCCAGCCUCGCUCCUUUCAACAGUAUCCCCAUGAGCUGCCUCAGCCCGCCAGCCCUGCAAGUCAACACGAGUAUUCACAGACGCAAAGACGCCAGAGGCACCCGGUUUUUAAAAAAGAGCGAAGGGGCGCCCCUCUCCCCUGCUACCAGCAUCCUCCGCCCCCAGGGGAAAGACAAAAAAAAAGUCUUCUUUUAUUACCGGCGAGAAUAGGGGGACAGAGCGAGCGCUGAGGGUAUGGCUUUUUCUCCUCCACCCCAGUUCUAGCAGUCGCCAAACGAACCGAGAAGGCAAAGGAAGGGGGUGCGAGGAGAAGAAAGGAAAGAGGCUCUUACCGGUGACUUGAAGAUGCGCGCUGAGCAGGGAAGCUCCGAAGAGUACAAAAGCCAGCUUGGGUACCCAAACACAUCCAAGACUAUUCUCCAUAUUUCAGCCAACACCUUCGGGGCCGGGGGUCCUGGGCAGCGGCGGCACUCACACACAUGCACUCACACACGCAUGCACACAUGCACACUCGCGCCGAGCCCCUUCGGCUUCCUCCUCUUCCUCCUCCUCCUCCUCCUCGUCGUCGUCGUCCUCCUCCUCCACCUCCCCUGCGCCUCUUCUGCCUCGAAGCCUUGUUCCUUGUCCAGAAUCAGCAGCAGCAGGCGGCAGCAAAAAGUUCCAUUUGGUGCAAGAGCUCCCAAGCCCAGGGAAAACGUGGGGACAUUAACUCAAGGAAACGCAAGGCGCGGGAGAGAGGACAGCUGUCCUCGAGGCCGGUGGGGCAUCAAUUCACAGAGCAUCCUCGGGGACCAGGAGGAGACAGACGGGGAGCCAUCCCGCGGCUGGGCUGCGCAUGCAAAGGUUGAGGCCGGCUGCACGUCGUCGGCGGGGUUGGUGAUUUACCAGUGA
rnacentral:lncRNA from 1 species